rnacentral:rRNA from 1 species
UACGUAGGGUGCAAGCGUUGUCCGGAAUUAUUGGGCGUAAAGAGCUUGUAGGCGGUUUGUCGCGUCUGCUGUGAAAUUUCGGGGCUCAACCCCGAGCUUGCAGUGGGUACGGGCAGACUAGAGUGUGGUAGGGGAGACUGGAAUUCCUGGUGUAGCGGUGAAAUGCGCAGAUAUCAGGAGGAACACCGAUGGCGAAGGCAGGUCUCUGGGCCGCUACUGACGCUGAGGUGCGAAAGCGUGGGGAGCAAACAGG